UACGUAGGCAGCGAGCGCUGUUCGGAGUUACUGGGCGUAAAGGGUGUGUAGGCGGUUUUCUAAGUUUGGUGUGAAAUCUCCCGCUCAACCGGGAGGGUGCGCCGAAAACUGGGAGACUAGAGUGCGGGAUGGGAGAGUAGAAUUCCUGGUGUAGCGGUGAAAUGCGUAGAUAUCAGGAGGAAUACCGGUGGUGUAGACGGCUCUCUGGACCGCCACUGACGCUGAGACACGAAAGCGUGGGUAGCAAACAGG
rnacentral:rRNA from 1 species